GCCCCGGUAGCCCAACUGGCAGAGGCAGUCGACUUAAAAUCGACCCAGUGCGGGUUCGAACCCCGUCCGGGGCACCA
rnacentral:tRNA from 1 species